UACAGAGGUCUCAAGCGUUGUUCGGAUUCAUUGGGCUUAAAGGGUGCGUAGGUGGCGGGGUAAGUCAGGUGUGAAAUCUCGAGGCUCAACCUCGAAACUGCACUUGAUACUGCCUUGCUAGAGUACUGGAGAGGAGAUUGGAAUUUACGGUGUAGCAGUGAAAUGCGUAGAUAUCGUAAGGAAGACCAGUGGCGAAGGCGAAUCUCUGGACAGUUACUGACACUGAGGCACGAAGGCCAGGGGAGCAAACGGG
rnacentral:rRNA from 1 species